rnacentral:rRNA from 1 species
CAUGUAGGCGGUUGUUUAAGUCUGAUGUGAAAGCCCUGGGCUCAACCCAGGAAGUGCAUUGGAUACUGGAUAACUUGAGUACGGGAGAGGAAAGUGGAAUUUCGAGUGUAGGGGUGAAAUCCGUAGAUAUUCGAAGGAACACCAGUGGCGAAGGCGGCUUUCUGGACCGAUACUGACGCUGAGAUGCGAAAACGUGGGGAGCAAACA